rnacentral:snoRNA from 1 species
UUGCAACAAAGAAAAUUUAAAAUUUUUUCUUAUUCACUAGGAUGUAAAAUCAAAAAACUCCCAGUGCUUUCCAUCUGUCUCUGUGGCAGAUUGAAUUGGGGAGAACAUCU